rnacentral:pre_miRNA from 1 species
CCCCAGGGGUCUGGACGUGGGUGGGCGCGGGGAGCGCGGGGACGACCGGGCCCGAGCCUUCUCCGUCCCCCCUGGGG